rnacentral:rRNA from 1 species
CUCCUACGGGWGGCWGCAGUAGGGAAUCUUCCGCAAUGGACGAAAGUCUGACGGAGCAACGCCGCGUGAGUGAUGAAGGCUUUCGGGUCGUAAAACUCUGUUGUUAGGGAAGAACAAGUACAAGAGUAACUGCUUGUACCUUGACGGUACCUAACCAGAAAGCCACGGCUAACUACGUGCCAGCAGCCGCGGUAAUACGUAGGUGGCAAGCGUUAUCCGGAAUUAUUGGGCGUAAAGCGCGCGCAGGCGGUUUCUUAAGUCUGAUGUGAAAGCCCACGGCUCAACCGUGGAGGGUCAUUGGAAACUGGGGAACUUGAGUGCAGAAGAGAAAAGCGGAAUUCCACGUGUAGCGGUGAAAUGCGUAGAGAUGUGGAGGAACACCAGUGGCGAAGGCGGCUUUUUGGUCUGUAACUGACGCUGAGGCGCGAAAGCGUGGGGAGCAAACAGGAUUAGAUACCCCNANGUAGUCAG